CGCGGGGAUCAGAUUUAGCCGGCACGAGCGAUGCCUGAGACGUGGGAAUCCGUCGAUCGAGCCGACGCGAGUGAUUCGUCUGCGAGGGAGAAAAGAGGGGAUCCAGCCGACGCUGGCGAGCAGUCGAGCGGAAAGGGGAUGCAAAGCUGCCGAGCGGCCGUGCGCGUCUCCCCGGCUGAUGCGGAAACGGUAUGCGAAGCUGAUCCGUCGGCGGUUGAUGCGACCAGUAGAUCUUCCGUUUCUCAAAUCCAUUAAUGGUUUUGAAGGUGCACCAUUUAUCUCGCCGCAUGUCUACAUUUCUACAGGUGCUAUCAGAUACUAAUUGAUCGAAAUUUGUUCGGACAAUUGGGGAAAGGUUUUGGUUCUGGUAUACUGGUUUGCAAGUGAAGGUUUGAGAAUUGGAGAAUUGGGGAAGGUUUGUUCAAUGAAGGUUGGUCACCAAGCCAUCAAUUCUGCUUUGCAAGUACACCGGAUGGUUCAAAUGGGGGCGACAUGCUAUUGAUAUUCACGCCUGCUAUGUGCCCUUCCCCUCACCACCAGGCAAGAUUCAAAGGUAUUGAAUCUCGGCUCCUCCACUACUGCUCGUUGCCCUUUCGAGGCUCGAUUUUUUCCUUAAUCGUCUCUGUUUGUAUUUCCACCUUAAUUUGGCUAAGGAUUAACAGGAUCUUUCCACCUUAAUUUGGCUAAGGAUUAACAGGAUCCUUGUAUGUGUUGAUUGCCCGGGAUGUGGUGCUGCAAAAUAAAUGCCCAGUUCGUCCAAUGAGUAAGAUAGGUGCCCUCCGGAUCAUGUUUCUUUGUUGUGAUAAGACCUUAUACGCCAUGUAUUUAGAUUUCCUGAAACCCUGUGAUUAGGACGGUCUUGUCCUCGGCACACCGCUGUACCUGCACGCAUGCACACCCACAAAUUAGAUCCACACAUAAUGUGAGUUCGGUCGGAACAAACAUGCAUGAGCCGUGGACACAAGGCACUCACACCAUGUAUUACGCCAACGUCUCUGUGUGUGCAAUGCACAUUUACAUAUCUAGCUCAUCGCAUGCAUACGAUGUGAGAUCA